rnacentral:ncRNA from 1 species
ACAAAUUCGUUGAUGAGAAAAAGUAGCGUUUCGUCUUGAUCCACAGAGAGCCGACAUAUUGGUGCAAGUCGGUGUUCGAGUGUUUCGUGAAAAUCCUCUCUGAGAAGUUAGGCUGAAUCUUAAAGUAAGUCUAACCGGGUGUCUACCGUUACAAGGAACACGUAUGAUUGUACGUUGCUAAGUGCUAUUGGAUCGGUUCAAUAGAAUUAGGGUGGUAUCGCGGUUAACCCCGUCCCUUUA